rnacentral:rRNA from 1 species
UACGAAGGGGGCUAGCGUUGCUCGGAAUCACUGGACGUAAAGGGUGCGUAGGCGGGUCUUUAAGUCAGGGGUGAAAUCCUGGAGCUCAACUCCAGAACUGCCUUUGAUACUGAAGAUCUUGAGUUCGGGAGAGGUGAGUGGAACUGCGAGUGUAGAGGUGAAAUUCGUAGAUAUUCGCAAGAACACCAGUGGCGAAGGCGGCUCACUGGCCCAUAACUGACGCUGAGGCACGAAAGCGUGGGGAGCAAACAGG